GAAGAAAUCAUCUGUCUCCUUCUCAAAGUCAACUUUUUUUAUGCUGGAAAGGCAUACAUCCUGGUCUUUUGGCAAUGUCCAAGGGGAUUGGCCAAAGCCCAACUAUGGCACACAAAUGUAACAGGAAUUGCACUACUGGAUAACUACCUGAUGGAGAUUGCACUUUUCUGAAGGGCUCAAGGUUGGUUGCUUAAAAGCAGUAAACAACAGAAAGCACACCUCUGAUGCUCUGGGAGUGACUCCAGUAUUGAAAUGGCAACUAUUUUGUUUGGAUAAAGACUGAAUAAUGGUUAAAGGUGUGGAGCUAGCCAAAAAGGGAUCUGCCUUUAAGAGACAGUUGCCUGCUUUUAAGAAGAGGAUUCAGAUGGAAUAAAAAACAGGAAGUCCUUGAAAGCUUCAAAGAAACCAUU